rnacentral:rRNA from 1 species
GACGAACGCUGGCGGCGUGCUUAACACAUGCACGUCGAACGAAGUGGCGAACGGGUGAGUAACGCAUAAUCAACCUGCCCUUCAGAGGGGGACAACAGUUGGAAACGACUGCUAAUAACGCAUACUGAAGGAGGGGAUUGCGUCUGAAUAGCUAGUUGGAGGGGUAACGGCCCACCAAGGCGAGGAUCAGUAGCCGGUCUGAGAGGAUGAAGUGCCAAAUUGGAACUGAUACACGGCCCAGACUCCUACGGGAGGCAGCAGUGGGGAAUCUUCCGGAAUGGACGAAAGUCUGACGGAGCAACGCCGCGUGAGUGAUGACGGCCUUCGGAUUGUAAAGCUCCGUUAAUCGGGACGCGGUACCGGAAUAGAAAGCCACGGCUAACUACGUGCCAGCAGCCGCGGUAGUUC